UCUACGGGAGGCUGCAGUGAGGAAUAUUGGUCAAUGGCCGGAAGUCUGAACCAGCCAUGCCGCGUGAAGGUCAGUGCCCUAUGGGCGUUAAACUUCUUUUGUGCGGGAGCAAUAAUGGUCACGUGUGGCCAGACGAGAGUACCGUACGAAUAAGCAUCGGCUAACUCCGGGCCAGCAGCCGCGGUAAUACGGGGGAUGCAAGCGUGAUCCGGAGUUAUUGGGUGUAAAGGGUGCGUAGGCUGUGAGGUAAGUCAGCGGUGAAAUGCCCCCGCUCAACGGGGGGAAGUGCCAUUGAUACUGCCGUGCUGGAAUGCGGAUGCCGUGGGAGGAAGGUGUGGUGUAGCGGUGAAAUGCAGAGAGAUCACACAGAACACCGAUUGCGAAGGCAUCUCACGAAGCCGCGAUUGACGCUGAUGCACGAAAGCGUGGGGAUCAAACAGGAUUAGAUACCCGUGUAGUC
rnacentral:rRNA from 1 species